rnacentral:lncRNA from 1 species
GGUGAGGGGGCAACCGGACUUCAAACAGGGUUCCAUGCGUAAGGUAGCGGGUCCUUCAUCUUUUGGUGGGAGGGGUCACGACCCUCUAAGUCUCCGAUGAAAGCUGUGGAUGUUUUUCCCCGGGGAAAAUGCACAUAUGCACAUACACGAGUCUGCAUACAAUUGGGGAGUUAGCCUGAGUCCGCUGUGAGAGAAAGUACUUAAAGAGGUGAAGUAGGGACAUCUUCGGGAACGUUCUAGGGAACUUUUCACAUUCUCCUGACGUCCUCCUACCCCCCCCUUGAUUUUAACGAGAAGUUUCAAACAUACACAAAAGUAGAAUUGUAGAGUAAACGACUAUAUACCCAUCACCCAGCAUCAAUCAUUAUCAAGAUUUUGUCAUACUUAUUUCAUUUCCUCCCUUCCUUUUUGUGCUAAAGUAUUUUAAAACAAAUUUCAAACAUCAUGUCAUUUUACCCCUACAUACUUCACCAUGCAGCUCUAAAACAUGUGAACGUUUUCUUACAUAAUAUGCCACUAUCACGUCUAACACAAUCAACACAGAUUUCUGGGUAUUAUCUAACACCUAGUUCAUAUGCAAAAUACUCCAGUUGAUUCUAAAGUGUCUUUUUAUCAGUUGGUUUGUGUGCAUCAGGAUCCAAGAGCCCUGAUCUAUUUAUUAUAGCUGAGGCCCCCUUGGCAUUUUAAAUGCAUCAGGCGUUCCUUCCCCCCACCUCAGUUAAAGACUGGCAGACAUUUCACAGCUACCCAAGGAGGGUGGCAUUUGAGGAGCCAUCAGUAAACUGGGAGCGGGGGUGAGUUGAAGCAUUUGGCGAAGGAUGGGGCUCUGGGUUGGGAAGCCCAGGGAAGAUGGGUUUCCUUUCAACAGGGGGGUUCAGCACCAAGGAGCUAUGCAGAAAGCCCUGAUGGGGUUUGAUCCUCCGACAUUUCCUAGGGGCCCCCUAAGUGUGCAAGGACAUGUGGCCCCCAGAAGUGGAGAAACAGGCGUCCCGGAGGGAGGCAGUCCCUGAGUACACAACCACAUAGGGAGCAGAGGUGACCUAG